rnacentral:rRNA from 1 species
AAGGUAUGGAGUUCAGGCUGUGUUUUUCUUACUUCGAAUCAGGGGGUCGCGAAACGUCGGAAACAGGGACGGUCCACUGCUUGACAUUGCCGACGUUGGUUACUACUCAGAUCCGGUGGUCUCUCAUCUUGUGGCUUACCUUGCAGGCAGUAUUCGGAGAACUACUGUCGGACUUUCUUCUGAUGUGUCAAUCUGGUACCACCUAGAAUUUUAACAAUAAAAACUCAAAGUCCGUUACCAGAACAGACUGGAAAAGUUUUCGGAAGGACUCUCGUUCACCUAGUAUACCGUGACUUCCUUACUGGAGCCUCUUGGUUCCACCCAACAUGGUAGAGAACUUCGGAGGGACGAACGACCUCAUCUCUACCGGUCCUCCUUUCUAGAGUUUCACGAGUGUUAGUAGUAAGUCCGGGAAGUAGAGACUACUAUAGGUGUGGCUGGGACCGUUAAACGUCUUGUACUCGUCGGUUAUAUGUCCCCACACUGCGGUUACCGUAGUGCCCGUCGUUACUUCGACAACAGCGCACACAGCUCGUUCUGCUUCCUCUUCUGUGGUAGGUCGUACAGCUACUUCAAGAGGGGCACGAGGAGCAUGAUAUGUUACCACUGACUGGUCCACGCGCUACUGGAGCGUCAGCGACGGACAGGACUUGCACACCCUCCUCUCGACGCGGGCCUCGACAAGUACCAACAUCUAGAGAGGUAAGUGGACGUUCCUCAUGAACAAAAUCGUCUUUCUUGGUUCGAUGU